UACGAACUGUGCGAACGUUAUUCGGAAUCACUGGGCUUACAGGGUGCGUAGGCGGCUCAACAAGUCAGGUGUGAAAGCCCCCGGGCUCAACCGGGGAACUGCGCUUGAAACUGUUAGGCUCGAGUCAGCUAGAGGUACACGGAACUUCCAGUGGAGCGGUGAAAUGUGUUGAUAUUGGAAGGAACACCGGAGGCGAAAGCGGUGUACUGGGGCUGGUCUGACGCUGAGGAGCGAAAGCGUGGGGAGCGAACAGG
rnacentral:rRNA from 1 species